GGUUAAGCUACUAAGAGCACACGGUGGAUGCCUAGGCGCUAGGAGCCGAUGAAGGACGUGGCGAACAACGAUAAGGCCUCGGGGAGCUGUAAGCAAGCUGUGAUCCGGGGAUGUCCGAAUGGGGAAACCUAACUGGAUUCAUCUCCAGUUACUCACACCUGAAUACAUAGGGUGUGCAGAGGCAGACGAGGGGAACUGAAACAUCUAAGUACCCUCAGGAAAAGAAAACAAGAGUGAUUCCGUCAGUAGCGGCGAGCGAACGCGGAACAGCCCAAACCAAGAAGCUUGCUUCUUGGGGUUGUGGGACGUCUCUUUGGAGUUACAAAGGAAUGAGGUAGGCGAAGAGGUCUGGAAAGGCCCGCAAGACAAGGUGAAAGCCCUGUAGCUUAAAUCUCAUUCUCUCCGAGACGGAUCCCGAGUAGUGCGGGGCACGUGAAACCCCGUAUGAAUCUGCCAGGACCAUCUGGUAAGGCUAAAUACUCCCUAGCGACCGAUAGUGAAGCAGUACCGUGAGGGAAAGGUGAAAAGGACCCCGGAAGGGGAGUGAAAUAGAACCUGAAACCGUGUGCUUACAAAAAGUCAGAGCCCUAUUAAUGGGUGAUGGCGUGCCUUUUGUAGAAUGAACCGGCGAGUUACGUUCCCGUGCAAGGUUAAGGUGAAAAGCCGGAGCCGCAGCGAAAGCGAGUCUGAAUAGGGCGACUAAGUACGUGGACGUAGACCCGAAACCAGGUGAUCUACCCCUGUCCAGGGUGAAGGUACGGUAACACGUACUGGAGGCCCGAACCCACGCACGUUGAAAAGUGCGGGGAUGAGGUGGGGGUAGCGGAGAAAUUCCAAUCGAACCUGGAGAUAGCUGGUUCUCCCCGAAAUAGCUUUAGGGCUAGCCUCGGAAGUUGAGUCGUGGAGGUAGAGCACUGAUUGGAUGCGGGGCCCGCAAGGGUUACCAAGUUCAGUCAAACUCCGAAUGCCACAGACUUUAUUCCGGGAGUCAGACAGUGAGUGCUAAGAUCCAUUGUCGAAAGGGAAACAGCCCAGACCAUCAGCUAAGGUCCCCAAGUGUGUGUUAAGUGGGAAAGGAUGUGAAGUUGCACAGACAACCAGGAUGUUGGCUUAGAAGCAGCCACCAUUGAAAGAGUGCGUAAUAGCUCACUGGUCGAGUGACUUUGCGCCGAAAAUGUAACGGGGCUAAACACACCACCGAAGCUAUGGCUUGAUACUUUGUAUCAGGGGUAGGGGAGCGUUGAAUGAAGAUUGAAGGUGUACCGCAAGGAGCGCUGGACCUCAUUCAAGUGAGAAUGCCGGUAUGAGUAACGAAAAGAUCAGUGAGAAUCUGAUCCGCCGAAAACCCAAGGAUUCCUGAGGAAGGCUCGUCCUCUCAGGGUAAGUCGGGACCUAAGGCGAGGCCGAAAGGCGUAGUCGACGGACAACAGGUUGAAAUUCCUGUACCACCGAAAGCCGUUAUGAGCAAUGGGAUGACGCAGGAGGAUAGUGACGCGGACUGAUGGAUGUCCGUUCAAGCAGUGAGGCUGGUAUGUAGGCAAAUCCGCAUACCGCAAGGCCAGGCUGUGAUGAGGAGCGAAAAUUGUAGUAGCGAAGGUCAUGAUUUCACACUGCCAAGAAAAGUCUCUAGCCAGGAAGCAGGUGCCCGUACCGUAAACCGACACAGGUGGGUGAGAAGAGAAUUCUAAGGCGCGCGGAAGAACUCUCGUUAAGGAACUCGGCAAAAUGACCCCGUAACUUCGGGAGAAGGGGUGCCCCGGUAGUGUGAAUAGCACGAGGGGGCCGCAGUGAAAAGGCCCAAGCGACUGUUUAGCAAAAACACAGGUCUGUGCGAAGCCGCAAGGCGAAGUAUACGGGCUGACGCCUGCCCGGUGCUGGAAGGUUAAGGGGAGUGGUUAGCGCAAGCGAAGCUAUGAACCGAAGCCCCAGUAAACGGCGGCCGUAACUAUAACGGUCCUAAGGUAGCGAAAUUCCUUGUCAGGUAAAUUCUGACCCGCACGAAUGGCGUAACGAUUUGGGCGCUGUCUCAACGAGAGAUCCGGUGAAAUUUUAAUACCUGUGAAGAUGCAGGUUACCCGCGACAAGACGGAAAGACCCCAUGGAGCUUUACUGCAACUUGAUAUUGAACUGGGGUGCGAUUUGUACAGGAUAGGUGGGAGCCGUAGAAACCGGAGCGCAAGCUUCGGUUGAGGCGCCGUUGGGAUACCACCCUGAUCGCAUUUGAGUUCUAACCUCGUACCGUGAUCCGGUACAGGGACCGUGUCAGGUGGGCAGUUUGACUGGGGCGGUCGCCUCCUAAAGUGUAACGGAGGCGCCCUAAGGUUCCCUCAGAAUGGUUGGAAAUCAUUCGAAGAGUGUAAAGGCAUAAGGGAGCUUGACUGCGAGACAGACACGUCGAGCAGGGACGAAAGUCGGGCUUAGUGAUCCGGUGGUACCGCAUGGAAGGGCCAUCGCUCAACGGAUAAAAGCUACCCUGGGGAUAACAGGCUUAUCUCCCCCAAGAGUCCACAUCGACGGGGAGGUUUGGCACCUCGAUGUCGGCUCAUCGCAUCCUGGGGCUGAAGUAGGUCCCAAGGGUUGGGCUGUUCGCCCAUUAAAGCGGUACGCGAGCUGGGUUCAGAACGUCGUGAGACAGUUCGGUCCCUAUCUGUCGUGGGCGUAGGAAAUUUGAGAGGAGCUGUCCUUAGUACGAGAGGACCGGGAUGGACGCACCGCUGGUGUACCAGUUGUUCCGCCAGGAGCAUCGCUGGGUAGCUACGUGCGGAAGGGAUAAGCGCUGAAAGCAUCUAAGCGUGAAGCCCCCCUCAAGAUGAGAUUUCCCAGUAUGUAAGACCCCUUGUAGACGACGAGGUUGAUAGGUUGGGGGUGGAAGUGCCGCAAGGCAUGGAGCUGACCAAUACUAAUCGGUCGAGGGCUUAUCCAA
rnacentral:rRNA from 1 species